GAUGAACGCUAGCGGCAGGCCUAACACAUGCAAGUCGAGGGGCAGCACAGAAACAGCAAUGUUUUGGUGGCGGCCGGCGGACGGGUGCGUAACGCGUAUGCAACCUACCUUUAACAGGGGGAUAACGGAGAGAAAUUUCCACUAAUACCCCAUAACAUCGAUCAAGGCAUCUUGAUUGGUUGAAAACUCCGGUGGUUAAAGAUGGGCAUGCGUUGUAUUAGGUAGUUGGUGAGGUAAUGGCUCAACAAGCCUACGAUACAUAGGGGGACUGAGAGGUUAGCCCCCCACACUGGUACUGAGACACGGACCAGACUCCUACGGGAGGCAGCAGUGAGGAAUAUUGGUCAAUGGGGGCAACCCUGAACCAGCCAUGCCGCGUGCAGGAAGACGGCUCUAUGAGUUGUAAACUGCUUUUAAACAGGGAUAAAGCACAGUAUGUAUACUGUGUUGAAGGUACUGUAAGAAUAAGGAUCGGCUAACUCCGUGCCAGCCGCCGCGGUAA
rnacentral:rRNA from 1 species